rnacentral:lncRNA from 1 species
AAUGUUGCAACACAGUGAUAGUCCAUGUUGGGAGACAGAGACAGACGCAUCUUUCAGGGGUUUUUUUUGGAACAUGGGAUUCCUUGGAUUGGAGGUUACGUAAGCUUAACGCAAAGAACAUAGUCUUAUUAUACAUGUUGAUGGUUCAAAGGGAUUGGUAUUAUUUUCUGUUACAAGUAUUUUUAUUUCCUGCGUUCUAUGUGAAUAAGGAAAGUGGCAAAUAUGGGAGUUUUAAAAGAGUAGUGGCAUUAUGG